ensembl:lncRNA
CUUUGCUUUCAUCCUUAGUAAUUGAAAAAGGAACAGUGGGGGCUGGGAGCUCACAAGAAAGUGGAAAAUACAGAUGAUUUAAAUGUUUUGUCCACCUGAAGUCCUGAACCUCACAUUCCUAAUGUAUGCCCUUCUUAAAUCAGUUCCACGUGUGAGUUUUGUCCAAAUGGCAAAUUAAGGACAAGGAGCGGCAAAGAAUCUGAAGCUGACACUAAUUCAGACCGAAAGACUUCCCGUGCCAGGUGGUAUUAAACAAACUGAAGCUGAAGGACUCCUCACCACCAGCUGAAACACAAAUAGAAUGUGUGUGGGGGGGCUCAGCCACCGGCUUGAGGGAGCAAGUCGGUUCAAACGAAAACGCACAGAUCUAAUGUAUUAUGUAAAUCGUUCCUGGAGCCCAAUAAAAGCUAUCGGCGACAACUUCAAGUAACGCCUCACAACAAUCGCCACGGAAACCCUGUUCCCAGGAAGCGCGUAAUGCCAAAAGGUGCCUUAUUUCCUGCCACGUGACCCACUUCAACCAGAGCCCCAUUGACUCGGCGCUCUACACCACAGGGUGCCAUUCAGGACCCAAGCACCUUCCCGGAGCUGACACACUGGGCCUCGGCCAUUCCCGGGGCCAGGAAACCCCUAAACGCACCGCUCCCUUGUAGCCUAUCCUGCAUCACCCGGCGUUAGCUGUGACGGCCCUGGCUAGCCCUAAUGGGCUAAGACUGACCUAUAUGCACAGCCCGCAAGGACUCCGGUUCACUUGGCAUUAUGCCGGGCGAAGGGGCGGAUCCUGUGGCAUUUGGCCGGAUCCUGUGGUACACAAGUCUGUACAGGUUAGCGUUGCCGCGGCGUUUAUUCCCCUGUGCAUUGUGUGUUGCACGCGGUGACGUCCGCGGUUGGAUGGUAGCCGUUUUGGCGUGCGUUUCCUUAGGAAAGAGCCAGCCGCCCUGGUUGGGAACGUCUGUCAGGCUGCAUUAGGGGAUACGUUGUGUUGCAGGGGUGUGUGGGGGGAACCCCCUGUUGUGUUUUUGAGUGUGUGCGUGUGUGUGUUUCUCUGCUGUCACAACCUCUAAUUAUAUAGCAUCUCUCUGAGACCCUGACAGCAACGCAGAUGGUUAGCGAGGAACCGAGGAACAAGGUUACACGACCAGGAGUCACCCCCCCCCAAGCCCCUCCUCCGUAUCUCACAAUCCAAGAACAGACGUGCCGACAGGAAAACGCAUCAUAUGACAUCUCUGUUUUAGGAGUGCUGUGAAGAGGAACGAGGUAAACAGACCAGGAGUCAACACGUUAGUGGAUCCCUCCACACUGCACAGGAUGCCAGCCAGGCUUCCAGGACCCAGUCCGCUGCCUCCGUGUCACUCCGUGGAGGGAAACCGGCGACAGGAAAUACAAAUAUGACACGUCACAGUGUUGAGAGGAACGCUUGAGGUUAUUCACAGAACUACUAAGUACUACUAAUAAAUAAUAAUACAUUAUAUUUAUAUAGCGCUUAUCAGGGACCCAAAGAUACAAUAGUGACAUGGAAACAGAAAACAAACAGUUCACAUGCCACCAUACACACAGUAAUGCAGUCAAUGUCUGAAUCGUGACCAACAUCUAGAUUUCUGUGAGCAAUCUCAAUCCAACUGUAGCAAGCUGAAAAAGCAAACGCUUGAUAAACAUCAGGGAAACAUUCAGUGCCAUUAGGUGUACUUAAGCAUAUUUCUUCCCCCUCUCACUCCAUCUCUCUCUUUGAACUGCAGAUGGUUGAUUAUUCGCUCAACCUUUUUUUUCUAGAAUUAUUUUUCCAAGCAAGUCAGCACUUUGAUCUGCCUCCAUACUGGCCUCUGGAGGUGCAGGGACGAAUUACAUGUCGCUGCCAGCCAGGGAGUGCAAGGUGUCCCUUAUGUAUCCCUGUCCAGUAAGAGUUUCCUGUGAUACAGGCUGAAUCCCAAAUGGCAUCCUAUUCACUAUUUACUGCACUAUGGGCUCCGGUCACAAAUAGGGAUUGAAAUGGGGUCAGUAGUAAUGAAAUCUGAAAUAUGCAAUGACAGAUGUUUGGGAGCUGGUAGUUGCUAAAAUAUGUGGACGUUUUUUUCAGUCUAAUCCAGAGAGCGAAUGGACAUUUCUCUACGUAUCUUAAUGCAAUGGCCAUAACAGAUUUUGGCGUUUAUUUGUUUCCAGGCAGCUGUGACGGAGAGGACGUUUAUUCUGGUGUGUGUGUGUGUGUGUGUGUGUGUGCGCGUCUGUGUGUGUGCAUGUGUGUGCAUGCCCAUGCCUGCGUGCGUUCGUGCGUGUGCCUGAGUGCAUGCAUGCGUGCGUGUGUGUCUGUCUGUGUGUGUGUGCACAUGUGUUUGUCUGUGUGUGUGUGCGCAUGUGUUUGUCUGUGUGUGUCUGCGCAUGUGUUUGUCUGUGUGUGUGUGCGCAUGUGUUUGUCUGUGUGUGUGUGCGCAUGUGUUUGUCUGUGUGUGUGUGCGCAUGUGUUUGUCUGUGUGUGUCUGCGCAUGUGUUUGUCUGUGUGUGCCUGCGUGCGUGCGUCUAUGUGUGUGUGUGCGCAUGUGUCUGUCUGUGUGUGUGUGCACGUGCACGUGUGUGUACGUGCGUGCGUGAUGUGGGCUUUAUAUUGACGGAGUCAGGCUUAAUUUGGGCAGAGUGGGUUUUCACACAUGACACCGUUAACGCCCCGGUGAUUUUGCCACGCAUGACAUUUUGUAGACAGACGCUGUCCGACGUUUACAUCUGUACGACACAGAAUGCCUGGGCACUUUCACCUCUCACCUUUACCAGUUCAUGCCCCCACAGCAUACACGGAUAUUACUAUAUUUAGAGGCUAUUGUUUACUCUAUACUCGCUUAAGUUACUUAAUACAAUCCACACAUUACAUUUGAGGUGCGCUUACUUAUGAGUUGUUCCUUUCAGACUUUCAUAUAUUGUUUUGAAUUAUUCCAUUUAGAAGUUCAUUUUGAUAUAUUGUUCCAUUCGAAGCACUGUCUGAUUCGUGUCCAUUUUGCCCAAUAAAUAAUGAAACACAGUAAUUUGUGUACAUCGAUUCUUGGUAUAAUAAUUAUUAUUGGUAUAAAUCUGUCUGUGUGUGCUGUUGUUUAAUGUUUCUCCAGGGGGUUGUUUUAGUCAUAACUUCAGUGGGAAUAUGUUGAAUUACUUACUAAUCAGUGGAAAAUGGCUUGUCCGGGGAACACUGAAUGCCAGCUUGUACGUGUCUCAAACGGCUCCCUCUUCACCUAAGGGCCCUGACGGAGAAAAGUGCACCACUUAGGGGAUAGUGUGAGGUUUGGGAUGCAGGCCAUGUGAAUUAGGACCAGGCCGGUCCAACAACCAAUUUGCAUAACACUCUUUGCUAAAUUGCGACUCAGCAAUCCAUUCGGAAGUUCGCAGGGCGCCGCUAAUGCAUUUAGGUCCCUGGAAGUGGAAAGCACGGUCAUUCAUAAUAAAUGAUUCCUCGUCGACUCAAAGUAAUCAUUUAUAAAAAAAAAAAAAAGAAAGACAUGACGUGUCUCCACUCAGUGUUUCCGCUCUAAUGUGACGGAAAGGCGUAAGUGUGCGCUAUUAGGCAACUGCAGUUCAUUGUCUUGUUUCGCAGCCAUUUCAGCGCAUCUAAGCAGCUCCCCCGUCAUUUCAACUACCUUGCGUCCAAAUUGCCCCCUCUUUCCUGUGAGGUUCACUAGUACUAUAGACAAUGGGUUAUAAGGGGGUGCAUUGGAUCAGCGUUUGAGUCCAGCUGUGAUAUUCCAACCAGUAUCGAUGAGGUGCCGGAAUAGUGGGAAUGACGGUCCUUGUCGGGUAGCUGAGGUAUUUGGGAAGUGAAAGCGCUGAAUACACUGCAGGUCCACAUGUUUACCCGAGCGUCUCUACAAAUGCAAGUCCAGUCUUUUCAGUCGUUGUUUUUAUAGACGCUUUGCUCUGGAGACACUUGGACCCUUUUCAUUCAACUUAAUUUGCAAUAUUUACUGAGGUAUCACCAAAUUGUUUCAAGAUGGCCGUGACACGGAUCAUCUAGCAAUUAGAUUUGGAGAUUGUUGACCCCUGUAGCUAUGUUUGUAGUCAUGUUUGUAGCUUAGUAUAUCUGUGUUAAUUUUAUUUGCAUUGCAGGCCUUUACUUUUAUGGAACAGGGAGAGUCAUUGUUGCCUUAAUACACGGCAAAACUGAUUUACCGUGAUGACAUGGGGGGUGAAACACAGCUCUGCUAAACCAAAACUGAGGGGGCAAAUAGUUGGCACUUCAGUAGCUCCGAGACAAUUUCUAGGAUGCAAAAGCAAUUAAAAGUUCUUAAUCGUCCCAGAAAUUGCUGGAUUCCUUCUUAUUGGUCGAGGAAACCUAUUGGUUCUGUCUGAUUGGUCACAAAAAAUGAUGGGUUAAGCCUGAUUGGUUCUGGAAUCCGAUGGGUUAAGCUAGAGCUAGAAUACACAAGGGUAAAGCAAAUAUUUUUGGGGGGCCCUAGAAAUCACAUAGAGUGCCUAUCAGGACAUAUUACGAAUCCAAUCACAUUUUUGUCUUCAGACGAAUAUAGAAAACUAUGAAUAAACAUCCGAGCUUUGAACGGAACAGAACCCCCGAUUGAUUAACAGCAAACAGCCGGCCACCCGAAGCCAAGGUCGCGGUGACGGUACUACCAUGGAGAGAUGAGCACUGCUGGUGAAAGUGUGAGGGGGAUAUGCAAAUAUGCUCCCUGCAAUUAAGGCACAAACACAUGCAUAAUGCAUUAUGACCAGGUCCCUGCAGUGUCUGUGGACCCUUGGGCCUGUUUAGUCAAAGCGCGUCUCCACACGUUCGGCAGUCCGGCCUCAGACGAGCAUCACCGGGUCAAUGAUCUGCGAUUCUUUGAUUGUUGACUCUAAUAUUGGUCUAUUUCCUUUCCUUACUUAACACCUUGUGUAUCUCUGUGUCUCUGAAGGUGGCUUUGUGUAUCUGUGUUUCUGAAGGUAGCUUUGUGUGUCUCUGUGUUUCUGAAGGUGGCUUUGUGUAUCUGUGUUUCUGAAGGUAGCUUUGUGUAUCAGUGUUUCUGAAGGUAGCUUUGUGUAUCUCUGUGUUUCUGAAGGUAGCUUUGUGUAUCUCUGUGUUUCUGAAGGUUGCUUUAUGUAUCUGUAUUUUUGAAGGUAGUGUCUCUGGAUCCAGCUGUGAGUAUCUCUGUCUGUCUCUCAAUCUAGCUGACUGCUAUGUGUCUCUGAAUCUAGCUGUGUGUACAACCAUGUGUUUUUGAAGCUACCUGUGUGCUAUUUAUCUGAAGCUAGUUGUGUGUAUAACUGUGUGUUUCUGAAGCUACCUGUGUGCUGUUUAUCUGAAGCUAGCUGUGUAUAUCUAUGUUUAUCUAAUACUAGCUUUUUUAUGAGUGUUCAUCUGAAGUUAGCUGUGUCUCAGAUUCUAGCUGUGUGUAUCUCUGUGUGUGUUCUGUGGCUACUCUGCUAUGUUUCUCUGAAGCUAGCUGUGUAUUUCUCAAGUUAGUUGUAUGGCUCUGUAUUUGUGAAGCUAGCGGUGUGUGUUUGUGUUUCUCUGAAGCAACUGUGUGUAUCUGUGUUUUCAAAAUCUAAUUGUAUGUAUAUUGAAGCCAGCUGUUUAUCUAUGUGUAUCUUUAAAACAAGCUUUAUUUUAUUUUUAAUCUUAAGCUAGCUGUAUCUGUAUUUCUCUGAUGCUAGCUGUGUGUGUCUCUGUGUCUCUGAAGCUAGUUAUGCUUAUCUGUGUGUCUUUAAGCCCUAUGUUAAGAUAUGCAAUUUCUGUCUGUCUGUGGCCCACAUUUAUACUUGUCAUUUAGCAGAUGCCUUUAUACUUAGUGACUCAUGGUAAGCAACACUUUACCCAAUAUCUAAAGCUAUAGCUGUGUAUUACUGAGGCUAUAUUUUUCAGCUUGUUUCUCAAACAAAUGUUACUUGUUUUCAGAUUUUAUGUCUUUGACUUUCCUUGAAAGUGUUUGUUACAUAAAACAUUAAUCAUUUAUUUUCAAUUGUCCAUGUCUCAGUAGCGGGAGAACCACCACCACUCCCCACAAUUCAUGGUAAAAAAAUUCUGAAGUGACAUAAAAGAUAUGUCUUUGACGGUCGCCUCAGAAGAAGAUUUAACACAGUUAGGAAGCCUGUUUGACAUUUAGUGCCUCUGAUAUGAGCAACGGCCCAUUGUAGUGGACUUGUCUGCUUUAUGGCUUUGCUUUUUGACCCUUCAGUUUCUCUUCAAUGAUGCUGUUUUUAUUCCUGUCUCUCACCCGGAAUAAAGGAACGAAGAAGAAAGGGAGUGAUGUUGUGGAUUAUGUAUGUGGUGUGGCUAGACUUACAUGUUUAUUUGUUUACAUUUUAUUGGAUUAGGUAGGCUAAACCUCAUUCAUGGGUUAACGCAAUUCUCAUGUAGUUUCUUCUCAUAAUACUUCAUUUAACUGAUUGUUUCAUAACAGAUUCAUUACAUGUUUAAUUCAUGUCUCGGAGAAACAGAUGAGGUCAGGUAAUUCAUUUGAGGACUAAUGUGCAGAAGAAAUCGAUGCUCACUCACGAAACACAGGAGCAUUUUACCCAGCAAACCUGAUUACUCAAACAGAUGUUUAUUAAUUUUCCGCACAUAUUAAUGCACUUAUACCAAAUUAAAUCAAUUAAAUAUUCAGUCUACUGUGCUAAGAAGUCAGUGUUAACAGACGUCUGUCACAGCCAAACCAAACGCUUCGGCUGUCCUUUAAAGAGGAUAGGUUUAUUAAUUCUUUCCAUCUAGCUACCUCUCAGGAUGUGGAAAACCAAUAAACAAACUUGCUAUGUGCACUAACAUUGUGUCUGUUUUGAGAAUAGUGUCUGCUAAAGGAUUCAAAUGUAUUUGAUGUUACACAGAUUUUUUGAAAGGGUGUUUCUGGGGGCUGAGCAGAAAUGGUGAAGGAUGCUCAGGAACAUAUUUCCGGUCAUAUCAUGAUAAUUUAACAUAACAUAUUGCAUAGUAAAGCCCUGUAAAAUACUGUAAAUAUGAUAUAUAGAAUAAUGUAUGUGUGUGUGUGUGUGUGUGUGUGUAUAGAUAUAGUACCAGUCGAAAAUUUGAACACACUCAUCCACUUGAGGGUGAAAGGUUAAGAUAUAUAGUGUCUAGUCCUAAAUAAAUCCUGAAGACAUAUUUUAAACAUUGUGAUUCACCAUUUGCUGGAUAUGCCUCUAUAUCUACAGUAGCUUCAGUCCCCGUUGUGACAGACAGACUAGCUCUAAUUAUGCUGAUCCUUUUUUUUGGGAGGGGGGUUCAACACCCCUCCUCACAUAUCCCUCGAACGCCCAUUACACACUCCUUUUAUUCAUCUCUCUCUUUUUGGAGACUGAGACGGUUGUCAUGGAAACGUGGCAUAAGCCAAGCACACUGCCUUACUCCCCCUUAAAUGUAAUUAACAUGAGGGGUGAUUUAUUCCUUAUUUUGGGAGGGGUGGGGCGUUAAUAUUGCCUGAUUUUAUUUUUUUCAACUCCCCCCCUGCCCCCCCUACCAUUUCCCCCAAAAUACUGUUCUUUAGAAAACGGUUACGGAUUAUAUUUUCAGAAGAUUAAUGCAAAGUUGAAAAAGGAAAACUUCUAAUUAAUAUUCUGCCAGUUGGCGCACAUGGUUCUGCAUUCUGGUUAUUACCACCAAAAAGCCCAGAGACUACACA